UACGAAGGGGGCUAGCGUUGUUCGGAUUUACUGGGCGUAAAGCGCACGUAGGCGGAUCUUUAAGUCAGGGGUGAAAUCCCGAGGCUCAACCUCGGAACUGCCUUUGAUACUGGAGGUCUCGAGUCCGGGAGAGGUGAGUGGAACUGCGAGUGUAGAGGUGAAAUCCGUAGAUAUUCGAAGGAACACCGGUGGCGAAGGCGGCUACCUGGACCGAUACUGACGCUGAGACGCGAAAGCGUGGGGAG
rnacentral:rRNA from 1 species